rnacentral:rRNA from 1 species
GUUUGACCUGCCCACUGAAAUUAUUUGAAGGGCCGCAGUAAUUUGACUGUGCAAAGGUAGCAUAAUCAUUAGUUUUUUAAUUAAAAGCUUGUAUGAAGGGUUGGACGAGGUAAAUUCUGUCUCUAUUUAAUUUAAUAUAGAAUUUAAUUUUUAAGUUAAAAAGCUUAAAUUUUUUUAAAAGACGAGAAGACCCUAUAGAUCUUUAUAAUAUUAAUAUUAAUUUUAAUUAAGAAUAUUUUAUUUUUUAUUAUUUAUAUUAUUUUAUUGGGGUAAUAGGAAGAUUAAUUAAAUUCUUUUUUUUAUUUUUACAUUAAUAAAUGAUUAUGUGAUCCAGUUUUAUUGAUUAGAAGAUUAAGUUACCUUAGGGAUAACAGCGUAAUUUUUUUAGAGAGUUCAUAUCGAUAAAAAAGUUUGCGACCUCGAUGUUGGAUUAAAAAUUAUCUUAGGUGCAGAAGUUUAAGAUUUUGGUCUGUUCGACCAUUAAAUUUUUACAUGAUCUGAGUUCAGACCGGUGUAAGCCAGGUCGGUUUCUAUCUUUAAUAAAAUAAAAUAUUUUAGUACGAAAGGACCAAGUAUUUAAUAUAUUUAUAUUUAGUUUUUUUGAAUAU